GUCCCUUCGGGGACAUUCGAUAAAAUUGGAACGAUACAGAGAAGAUUAGCAUGGCCCCUGCAAAAGGAUGACAUGCACAAAUCGAGAAGUUCAAAAGGAAAAG
rfam:Triticum aestivum genome assembly, contig: Triticum_aestivum_CS42_TGACv1_scaffold_080362_1DS